rnacentral:rRNA from 1 species
GUGAACGCUGGCGGUAGGCCUAACACCUGCAAGUCGCACGGCAGCACAGUAAGAGCUUGCUCUUACGGGUGGCGAGUGGCGGACGGGUGAGGAAUACAUCGGAAUCUACUUUUUCGUGGGGGAUAACGUAGGGAAACUUACGCUAAUACCGCAUACGACCUACGGGUGAAAGCAGGGGAUCUUCGGACCUUGCGCGAUUGCAUGAGCCGAUGUCGGAUUAGCUAGUUGGCGGGGUAAAGGCCCACCAAGGCGACGAUCCGUAGCUGGUCUGAGAGGAUGAUCAGCCACACUGGAACUGAGACACGGUCCAGACUCCUACGGGAGGCAGCAGUGGGGAAUAUUGGACAAUGGGCGCAAGCCUGAUCCAGCCAUACCGCGUGGGUGAAGAAGGCCUUCGGGUUGUAAAGCCCUUUUGUUGGGAAAGAAAAGCAGCAGGUUAAUACCCCGCUGUUCUGACGGUACCCAAAGAAUAAGCACCGGCUAACUUCGUG